GUUCUGGGAUCACAGUACAUGAGCCACUCCACCGCUGAAGACUUACUGGAGAAGUUUAAGGUAAGCCAUUCAAUAACAUUUAAACUCAUUAACGAACCCGUGAUUUUUAAAUAUCCAUGGUUUAUCUUUCCAUGUGUUUAAAUGGGAGAACCAUAUUUAUUGGUAAGCAUAUUUUAAAGAUUUUAUUGCUGCUUCAUGGCUUUUCUUGCAAAAAAAUAGUUCAUUGAGGAAAUAGAAUGUUUAAGUGUUGUGUAGCAACAUGUACAGCUGGUCCUGCAUCACUCUGUCGGGGCUUAUUCCACGAGAAUGACCGCCUCACUGAACAAUAUCCCUUACAUACGAUUGUUUCAUUAGCAAGUCUUCUGUACUAGUGUAUGCUUAUGUCCUUGCACUCCUUAUGUUGCGUGAACUUAAUAUAUGAAAACUAUUUGACUGCAAUAUCUCAGUAUAGUGCUAUAAAUAUCUAACUGUUUUUACAAUUUUUUUUCUCCAGUAAUUUUAGGAGUGUACAAAGGAGCUCAAUGUAAAAAAUUUGCUCCCCUUGUCGGUGGAUGGACCUGCAGUCAUUUGGAUGUUCGUAGAGCUCUUGCAAAAAGACCAUGCCAGAAGAGAGGACUUCACAGCUGCAACAUCAUCCUCAAGAUUCCUUCUACCUUUCUGUGGGCAACGGUGGCUCGAACAUUUGCCAGCUGUCGAACGAGCAUUGGAAGUCUGGCCCUCUGUUGUGAAGUAUGUGGACCUGGUGAAGUCAGAAAAGGUGAAAAACCCAGGGACAUCUUCUUUUGACUGCAUUUCUGAAGCCCGAAUGGAUCCCCUUCUUCUGGCCAAACUACAUGUUUUUCAUGGCCCUAUCACAAGCAUUUCAACCAUUUCUGGCUAAAUACCAGACAGGUGUUCCCAUGAUGCCCUUCCUUUGGAAGGACUUGGCAGAAUUGAUCCAGACUCUCCUUCAGCGCUUCAUCAAACGAGAUCCCCUGCCUCUCACUCCAUAUAAGCUGGUCAGACUUGAUGUCAGUGAUCAAAAACUCUGGCUCAGUCCAAAGGAGGUGGA